rnacentral:rRNA from 1 species
UACGGGAGGCAGCAGUGGGGAAUAUUGCACAAUGGGCGCAAGCCUGAUGCAGCCAUGCCGCGUGUAUGAAAAAGGCCUUCGGGUUGUAAAGUACUUUCAGUCGUGAGGAAGGUGUUAAGGUUAAUAACCUUAGCAAUUGACGUUAGCGACAGAAGAAGCACCGGCUAACUCCGUGCCAGCAGCCGCGGUAAUACGGAGGGUGCGAGCGUUAAUCGGAAUUACUGGGCGUAAAGGGCACGCAGGCGGUUAAUUAAGUUGGAUGUGAAAUCCCCCGGGCUUAACCUGGGAAUGGCAUUCAAGACUGGUUAGCUAGAGUCUUGUAGAGGGGGUAGAAUUCCAUGUGUAGCGGUGAAAUGCGUAGAGAUGUGGAGGAAUACCGGUGGCGAAGGCGGCCCCUGGACAAAGACUGACGCUCAUGUGCGAAAGCGUGGGGAGCAAACAGGGAUUAGAUACC